rnacentral:rRNA from 1 species
AGAAUCAACGCUGGCGGCGUGCCUAACACAUGCAAGUCGAACGAGAAAGUGGAGCAAUCCAUGAGUAAAGUGGCGCACGGGUGAGUAACACGUGACUAACCUACCCUUGAGUGGGGGAUAACCUAGAGAAAUCUGGGCUAAUACCGCAUAACACCUACGGGUCAAAGGAGCAAUUCGCUUAAGGAGGGGGUCGCGGCAGAUUAGCUAGUUGGCGGGGUAAUGGCCCACCAAGGCAGUGAUCUGUA